rnacentral:misc_RNA from 1 species
GAUGAAGAACGUAGCGAAAUGCGAUAAGUAAUGUGAAUUGCAGAAUUCAGUGAAUCAUCGAAUCUUUGAACGCACAUUGCGCCCGCCGGCACUCCGGCGGGCAUGCCUGUCCGAGCGUCAUUUCAACCCUCAGGCCCGAACCCCCCCGGGGGGGGCGGGCCUGGUGUUGGGGCUCGGGGUCCGCGAGGCCCCCGUCCCCUAAAUCCAGUGGCGGUCGCGCCGCACCCUCCCCUGCGUAGUAGCACACCUCGCACCGGAGAGCAGCGCGUCCACGCCGUGAAACCCCCACCUUACCAAGGUUGACCUCGGAUCAGGUAGGAAUACCCGCUGAACUUAAGCAUAUCAAUAAGCGGAGGA